UACGGAGGGUGCAAGCGUUGUCCGGAUUUAUUGGGUUUAAAGGGUGCGUAGGCGGUUUUGUAAGUCAGUGGUGAAAUACUCCAGCUUAACUGGAGGGGUGCCAAUGAUACUGCAGAACUUGAGUACAGAUGAGGUAGGCGGAAUUGACGGUGUAGCGGUGAAAUGCAUAGAUAUCGUCAAGAACACCGAUAGCGAAGGCAGCUUACUGGGCUGUAACUGACGCUGAGGCACGAAGGUGUGGGGAUCAAACAGG
rnacentral:rRNA from 1 species